rnacentral:rRNA from 1 species
GUAGGUGGCAAGCGUUGUCCGGAAUUAUUGGGCGUAAAGCGCGCGCAGGCGGUUCUUUAAGUCUGAUGUGAAAGCCCACGGCUCAACCGUGGAGGGUCAUUGGAAACUGGAGAACUUGAGUACAGAAGAGGAAAGCGGAAUUCCACGUGUAGCGGUGAAAUGCGUAGAGAUGUGGAGGAACACCAGUGGCGAAGGCGGCUUUCUGGUCUGUAACUGACGCUGAGGCGCGAAAGCGUGGGGGGAGCAAACAGGAUUAGAUACCCUGGUAGUCCACGCCGUAAACGAUGAGUGCUAAGUGUUAGGGGGUUUCCGCCCCCCCCUUAGUGCUGCAGCUAACGCAUUAAGCACUCCGCCUGGGGAGUACGGCCGCAAGGCUG